rnacentral:rRNA from 1 species
CCUAACACAUGCAAGUCGAGCGGUAGAGAAGGAGCUUGCUUCUUCUUGAGAGCGGCGGACGGGUGAGUAAUGCCUAGGAAUCUGCCUGGUAGUGGGGGACAACGUUUCGAAAGGAACGCUAAUACCGCAUACGUCCUACGGGAGAAAGUGGGGGAUCUUCGGACCUCACGCUAUCAGAUGAGCCUAGGUCGGAUUAGCUUGUAGGUGAGGUAAUGGCUCACCUAGGCAACGAUCCGUAACUGGUCUGAGAGGAUGAUCAGUCACACUGGAACUGAGACACGGUCCAGACUCCUACGGGAGGCAGCAGUGGGGAAUAUUGGACAAUGGGCGAAAGCCUGAUCCAGCCAUGCCGCGUGUGUGAAGAAGGUCUUCGGAUUGUAAAGCACUUUAAGUUGGGAGGAAGGGUUGUAGCUUAAUACGCUGCAACCUUGACGUUACCAACAGAAUAAGCACCGGCUAACUCUGUGCCAGCAGCCGCGGUAAUACAGAGGGUGCAAGCGUUAAUCGGAAUUACUGGGCGUAAAGCGCGCGUAGGCGGCUUGAUAAGAUGGGUGUGAAAUCCCCGGGCUUAACCUGGGAACUGCAUCCAUAACUGUCUGGCUAGAGUACAGUAGAGGGUGGUGGAAUUUCCUGUGUAGCGGUGAAAUGCGUAGAUAUAGGAAGGAACACCAGUGGCGAAGGCGACCACCUGGACUGAUACUGACGCUGAGGUGCGAAAGCGUGGGGAGCAAACAGGAUUAGAU